rnacentral:misc_RNA from 1 species
CUUGAAUGGACUGUUGAUAACAGUGGUUCAUAGAAUGAGCAAAGGAUCUAAGUCAGGAGAUUGGUUGCCUGAGGACCUCAACAAGGGGAGAUUGGAUUACUUUUAUUACUUCCUUACUGGUAUUGAGUUACUCAAUUUGUGCUACUUUCUAGUUUGUGCAAAGUGGUAUAAGUACAGAGGGGCAUCUCAAAAUGCCUCUGAAAUUCACUUGAUCUCAAAACAAGAAGAGAAAAAUAGUGUCUGAUAUAUAUAUCAGCAGGAUUUAAAUAACGAGCAAAUUAACCCUGUUUUCAGAUGGAGUAGAUUUUGAACUUGG